GUCGCCGUAGCUCAGUUGGUGAUGAGCGCCGAGCUGAUAACUCGGAGGUCGGGAGUUCGAUCCUCUCCGGCGAUACCA
rnacentral:tRNA from 1 species